rnacentral:lncRNA from 1 species
GAGAGACCUAGGGGGAAGUAAUUGAAUCACGCGGGACGGUCUUUGGUAUGCUAUUCUCGUGACAGUGAAUAAGUCUCACGAGAUCUGAUGGGUUUAUCAGGGGUUUUCGCUUUUGCUUCUUCCUCAUUUUCUCUUGCCGCUGCCAUGUAAGAAGUGCCUUUUUCCCCCCGCCCCCACCAUGAUUCUGAGGCGUCCCCAGCCAUGUGGAACUGCGCGGUGGCUCACACCUGUAAUCCUAGCACUUUGGGAGGCCGAGGCGGGUGGAUCACCUGAGGUCAGGAGUUCGAGACCAGCCCGACCAACAUGGAGAAACCCCGUCUCUACUAAAAAUACAAAAUUAGCCGGGUGUGGAGGCGCAUGCCUGUAAUCCCAGUUACUCGGGAGGCUGAGGCAGGAGAAUCGCUUGAACCCAGGAGGCAGAAGUUGCGGUGAGCCGAAAUCGCACCAUUGCACUCCAGCCUGGGCGACAAGAGCGAAAACUCCAUCUCAAAAAAAAAAAAAAGAAAUGAUUUUAUUUAGCAUGUUUGCAUCCAUGUUCACAAAUAAAAUCGGCCUUUAUUUUUCUUUUCUCAUUUUGUCCUUGUUGGAUUUUUGUAUCAGGAUUUUGCUAGACUUAUAAAAUGAUGUGGGAAGUUUU